rnacentral:rRNA from 1 species
UACAGAGGUCUCAAGCGUUGUUCGGAUUCAUUGGGCGUAAAGGGUGCGUAGGCGGCGCGGUAAGUCGGGUGUGAAAUCUCGGAGCUUAACUCCGAAACUGCAUUCGAUACUGCCGUGCUUGAGGACUGGAGAGGAGACUGGAAUUUACGGUGUAGCGGUGAAAUGCGUAGAUAUUCGGAGGAACACCAGUGGCGAAGGCGGCUCGCUGGCCCAUUUCUGACGCUGAGGUGCGAAAGCGUGGGGAGCAAACAGG